GACGAACGCUGGCGGCGUGCUUAAUACAUGCCAGUCGAACGGAAAGGCCCUGCUUUUGUGGGGUGCUCGAGUGGCGAACGGGUGAGUAACACGUGAGUAACCUGCCCUUGUCUUUGGGAUAACUUCAGGAAAAUGGGGCUAAUACAGGAUAGGAGCUCCUGCUGCAUGGUGGGGGUUGGAAAGUUUCGGCCGUUGGGGAUGGACUCGCGGCUUAUCAGCUUGUUGGUGGGGUAGGGGCUUACCAAGGCUUUGACGGGUAGCCGGCCUGAGAGGGUGGCCAGCCACAAUGGGACUGCGGUACGGCGCAGUAUCCAACCGGAGGCAACAGUGGAGAGUAUUGCGGAGUAGGCGGGAGCCUGAUGCAGCGGCGCCGCGUGCGGGAUGACGGCCUACGGGUGGUAAACCACUUUCGCCUGUGACGAAGCGGGAUUGACGGUAAUGGGUAAAGAAGCACCGGCUAACUACGUG
rnacentral:rRNA from 1 species